UCUGGCCACUGCGUCGUCAGGUCUACGAUUCGCGCCUGCUCUGGGCUGAUUGAUAGGGAAAAGUCUUCACCAGAGGCUGCAGGGAUUCUGUUUUGUAUUACAAAACAGCGUAGUGUUUAACAGCAAACCCGUGGAGCACGGUGACGCUCAGGCACGUUUCUGACGUUGGCUGGUCCGAUCUCCAUCAGCGCUCUAUGGAGAGAGUUGUACACAAGCUGGAAGUCAAAGCACGGAGAGAUGCAAGACCAGGUUUGUCGGUUUCCUGAAGGCAAAGUGAUGACCACCGCAGUAAUUUUAAAAAGUGAUCUGAAUCUGAGUACCACUACCCCACAAAGUCCACCUUCUCUAUGCAGAACAAGAAAAUCCAUGAGAGUUUCAGAGAGCUGUAAGGACACAUGUCUGCAUGCAGAAAGAGAGAGACCUGGGCUUCCCUGCUUCAUUUCCCAAAUGGCAG